rnacentral:rRNA from 1 species
GCAAGUCGAGCGAGAAAGUGUCCUUCGGGGCGCGAGUAAAGUGGCGAACGGGUAGUAUCGCGUGGGUAAACUACCUUUCGGCGUGGGACAACGGCUCGAAAGGGCCGCUAAUACCGCAUACGUCGGUGACCUCCAUGGAGGUUCCCGGGAAAGGAUGGCCUCUGCUUGCAAGCCGUCGCCGAAAGAGGGGCCCGCGUCCCAUCAGCUUGAUGGUAGGGUAAUGGCCUACCAUGGCUUAGACGGGUAGCUGGUCUGAGAGGAUGAUC